UACGUAGGGUGCGAGCGUUGUCCGGAAUUACUGGGCGUAAAGAGCGCGCAGGCGGUCGUUCAAGUCGAGUGUGAAAGCCCCCGGCUCAACUGGGGAGGGUCAUUCGAUACUGAUCGACUGGAAGGCAGGAGAGGGAAGCGGAAUUCCCGGUGUAGCGGUGAAAUGCGCAGAUAUCGGGAGGAACACCAGUAGCGAAGGCGGCUCCCUGGGCCGUACCUGACGCUGAGACGCGAAAGCGUGGGGAGCAAACAGG
rnacentral:rRNA from 1 species